UAUAAAAGAAAUUUCAAUAAUUUACCUUUUGUAUCAGGGUUUUUUAAAAUUAUUAAUAAAUAAGUUAUCUCGAAGCAAUAAUGAGCUAAUAAAUUUAUUUUUGUUGUAGUAAAAUAAUUAAUUAUAUUAGUAAUGAAAUGUUAUCGUAUUUUGGUUUAUCUAGUUAUUUGAAUAGUUUAAUUUAUAAGUAGUUGUAAACUAAGUAAAUAGAAGAGUUAAUUUUUUUAUUUAAAUAAAUAAAAAAAUUUUUUAUUAUUAAUUAGGUUUAAUAUUAAUCAUAUUUAUAUGUUGUUAUAAAUAAUUAAAUGUUUAAUUAUGUAUAUUAUUAUUAUUUAAGUUAUGGGGGUUAUUAUAUAAUUUUUAAAAAUAAUGAAUUAAUUAGUAUUAGAUUUAUAUUAUAUAUCUAACUCGUAGUUUAUUUGAUAGUUUAACAAAAACAUUUUUUUUAGUAAAUUAAAAAUAAGGCCUGCCCAGUGAAUUUUUUAACGGCUGCAGUAUUUUAACUGUACUAAGGUAGCAUAAUCAUUUGUUUUUUAAUUGAAAACUGGUAUGAACGGUUUUACAAAUAAUUAAUUGUAAUAUAUUUAUUUAGUAAAUUUUAUUUUUAAUAAAAAUAUUCAAAUAUAAUAAAGGGACGAUAAGACCCUAAAAGCUUUUUUAUUAUUUUGUUUUAAUAAAAUAAAAUUAAUAAAUUUAGUUGGGGAAAUAUAUAUAUAAAUUUUAUUUUAUUAAAAUACAAGUAUUUUUGGUAAUUUGAUCUUUUUUAUAAAGAAAAAUAGAACUAGUUACUUUAGGGAUAACAGCGUAAUAAUUUUAGAAAGGUCUUAUUAAUAAAAUUGCUUACGACCUCGAUGUUGAAUUAAAAUGUCUAUAUCUCGUAGAAGGUAUAUAAGAAGGUUUGUUCAACCUUUAAUUUUUUACAUGAUUUGAGUUCAAAU
rnacentral:rRNA from 1 species